GUGUGUGUGUGGUGGGGAUCUGACCACAAGACCUCGUCAACAUCACAGGCGAUGUCUCUUCCACGUCCGACUCCUCUCUCUCUCUCUCUUUGUCCUCCUCUGACUCUCAUUGCCUCCAUGCUUGCAAAGUUCUCAAAAUGGCUUACCUGAGGCCUAUUUCUAGUGCUAAGACCGAUUGGUGUUCUGUUUUCUGUGCCAGCGUUUUCAGGUCUGUAUGUAAGUGCCUACAAUUACCAGAUGAGUUUUGCAUUUUGAACAGUGUUUUCCCAAUGAUAACAGGAAAUUUCGUUUUUGAACAAAGUGUCUAAUGUAAGAAAACGUGUGUAGUGUUUCACAAUAAGUGUGUUAAAGAAUUGCAAACAAAGUGCAAAUUUGACAAUGUGUUAAAGCUAUGGUUACACUGUGUUUAAGGGAUGCUACAAGAAGUUUAGGUAUUGAGGCUUUGGUCUAAGCAUUCGUUUUUAGUGUGUAAGCAAUGGGCAAAAACUGUAACUGAAGGAUUGGAUAUAAUUUCCUAUAAAAGACGUUUAUUGAUCAUGAAUUCCAAAAAUAAGUGUGAAACCAGUGGUAAUAGUGUGCUGUCAGUGGUGUUUAUACAUGGUAGUGAAAAAAAGCGUUAAACUUCAGAAAAUGCCCCAAAAACAUCGAUAAAAAUGUAUAUUUUUUCAGUUUUGACCCGGGAGGACAACACAAGGGUUAAGUCAAGGUGAACAGCGGUUCAUCUUUUGCAGUAACUGUAUCAUUUAAUUCCAAUAAUACAGUCCAAAACUAUACUCACUAUACAUACCUAUAAAGGACAGCUACAGAUAUAGUAACAACAGUGGUAGUUGAGUUCUCAUCCACCACACCGGCAUGCCUGAUCCAUCCCUGGCAAUCUUCUGCAAAUGUGUCCAGACAUCCAGAAAGGGACAAAUGAUUAUGUGGACGGGGCUCCUAAACUUUGACCUCCAUGAGUAAAAUAGUUCCACUGUGGAGUUAAGUACUGGGUAGAAAGGUGGACGAGAAGUGACUGCAUCCUUGGAUGGGCAGUAAACCUGUCUGUGACUGGGAGAGAUGGUGAAACGCCACAUCGUUCCAUACAAUUACAGAACGGCCCCUUUCCUCACCUUUCACAAGUCUGUCAUAGAGCUCAUCAGAGAAUGUUGUACAGUAUGCCCCAAUUAGGAGUUAAUACAUUUUAAUUUAUUUUUGUAUUUAUUUUUAGAUAUAGAUGUGGCUGAGCAAGCUUGAAUGGUAGGGUUUGAACGUACAUUUAACAGUUUUUACUAUAGUAUGUUACCGUGUAAAAUGGAGUGUAAAUAUGCAGAGGUUUGGUGGUUAAGUUAGAGUGAGAAAACAGUUCAUGAGUUUUGAAAAGGUGUGGUCAUUGACUGCAUUUUGUGGCAAAGGAUGAAAAGUGAUCCAUAGUUCAGUGCACACUGACUUCUGUUGUGCUGACUGUGGAAAGAGUUCAGAAAAAGGCACAAAUGUGAAACCUCAGGCAUAUUGAGAAAUGUGUUACCAGGUGUAAAAACUAAAACAAUAACCAGUGUUAUUUAGUUAAUUCAGGGCUCGUGGCAGGAAGUGUGUAUCGCCCAUUAUUUCUGUGUUGUGCCCAGGGGUGAUUCUAGGAUCAGACCUUUAGGGGGGCUCAGCCCCUAAUGAGAAUGUGACACGGAUACAGUGCCUUGCAAAAGUGUUGACGGGAUUACAGGUACAUAGCAUUGGCGACAGACACACAGGAUAAUAAACCUGUUUCAUGCCCUUUGAACCUGUAAAUGUUUGUCCUCUGUCACUAACAGACAAGUUCGAAAACUCUCACUUAAAGUAAUUUUUUAAGUUAUAUAUUUUUUUUAUUAUUAUAAUUUUUAGGGGGGCUGAUAUGAAAUUUAGUGGGGCUUGAGCCCACUUAAAUAGGGUCUAAAAUCGCCAAUGGUUGUGCCUCCUGGACUGCUACACUAAUCCAUAUAUGCCGUAGUAUUAUAUUCUCGCAGUAUGAACUAAUGCCAAAUGUCUACAUAGCACAUGGCACCUGUGUUGUGUCAUACUUUGAGGAGAGCCCGUGAUGAGCAUACAGCAAAGUGGUAAAAGGUUGCUUAGUUUAAUGAUCUGUUGUAGAUUUGACAUUUUGCCAAACUGCAAUAUGGCUGGACAAUACAGAUCUUUAUGGGUCCAGAAUUCUGGACCUGAUUUAAAGUGGACCAGUGGAAUGCAUGAAUACAUUUUUGAUUUAUCUAUGGGUACCAUUCCGGAUAGAGAAUAGUACCCAUCCAAAUGGGAAAUAGGGAAUAGAGAAAGACAUACUGACACACAGGCUACUAGCAACCAAGUUAACCCAUGAAGACAUCUACUGAGUACAUAUGACACAGUUAGAUAUGCUAAGCUAAUCAGGUGAAAAGGUGAAUGACAUUGCACUAAAAUUGCAUGCCUUACAAUCACAGGGUCGUCUGUUAAUGAGAAGGCCGGAGCCAGUGAAAGAAUGACAGUAAUGGUGAUACAUAUAUGAUACCGAAUGUGUACAUACUGACAUUUUAUAUCUUUUAUUAACAUUCCAAGUGUGCAUCUCUGAACCAAAACCACUGGUCAAACCAUAACUCAUUAUUAUGCUAACCAUUAAUGACAUCAAAAUGUAUUGCUAAAAUGUAACUAAUUACAGCUCCUUAUGAUAACAUUUACUGUCUACGACUCUACAGUACAAAGUGUAAAAUUGAUAGGCUGUGACGUACACAUGGCUUAGAGAGGCUUAUAACCAAGGCUGACCAUUAGCAAUCAGCAAAACAGGCAACUGCACUGGAGCCUGCAAAAGCCUCAGCUUCACUGUUUGGCAAGUGGUUUUUGGGUGAUUUGAUUUACUGUGUUUGGGAAUAUGUAUAUUAUUAAAGGGUAACUACCGUUUUUUUCAACCUGGA